rnacentral:rRNA from 1 species
AACGCUGAAGGAGGAGCUUGCUUCUCUGGAUGAGUUGCGAACGGGUGAGUAACGCGUAGGUAACCUGCCUGGUAGCGGGGGAUAACUAUUGGAAACGAUAGCUAAUACCGCAUAAGAGUAGAUGUUGCAUGACAUUUGCUUAAAAGGUGCAAUUGCAUCACUACCAGAUGGACCUGCGUUGUAUUAGCUAGUUGGUGAGGUAACGGCUCACCAAGGCAACGAUACAUAGCCGACCUGAGAGGGUGAUCGGCCACACUGGGACUGAGACACGGCCCAGACUCCUACGGGAGGCAGCAGUAGGGAAUCUUCGGCAAUGGACGGAAGUCUGACCGAGCAACGCCGCGUGAGUGAAGAAGGUUUUCGGAUCGUAAAGCUCUGUUGUAAGAGAAGAACGAGUGUGAGAGUGGAAAGUUCACACUGUGACGGUAUCUUACCAGAAAGGGACGGCUAACUACGUGCCAGCAGCCGCGGUAAUACGUAGGUCCCGAGCGUUGUCCGGAUUUAUUGGGCGUAAAGCGAGCGCAGGCGGUUAGAUAAGUCUGAAGUUAAAGGCUGUGGCUUAACCAUAGUACGCUUUGGAAACUGUUUAACUUGAGUGCAAGAGGGGAGAGUGGAAUUCCAUGUGUAGCGGUGAAAUGCGUAGAUAUAUGGAGGAACACCGGUGGCGAAAGCGGCUCUCUGGCUU